GGUCCUACGGGGCGCAGCAGUGAGGAAUAUUGGUCAAUGGGCGGAAGCCUGAACCUGCCAAGUCGCGUGAGGGAAUAAGGCCCUACGGGUCGUAAACCUCUUUUGCCGGGGAGCAAGGGCCGGGACGCGUCCCGGCCCGGAGAGUACCCGGAGAAAAAGCACCGGCUAACUCCGUGCCAGCAGCCGCGGUAAUACGGAGGAUGCGAGCGUUAUCCGGAUUUAUUGGGUUUAAAGGGUGCGUAGGCGGACUACCAAGUCAGCGGUAAAAUUGCGGGGCUCAACCCCGUCGAGCCGUUGAAACUGGC
rnacentral:rRNA from 1 species